AUUGCAUUUUUAAAGUUUUUCACUGCAUUAAAUUCGCAGCUUUAAUUAUAAGCAAUAACAGUAACGGUUUUGCAGAACGUUUAUUACGAUAGCGUUGUAAUGCAUUGUAGACACGGACGAAGUAUAGUUGUAAAACGGCGUUUUAAUUGUGUUUGCCGUAUAGUAUUGCCGACGCAGCAGUAUCCUCGUCGUCGCAGCCUCCGACCGUUGCAGUGAUGAUGCUGACGGCGGCGGAACGUUAUUGUGUUACA